UUGGCGCAGUGUUGUUUAGGUCGUGACGUGUACAAUGUUGUGAUUUACGCCCUAAGUCCAAUAUUGCACUCGUCCCGGCCUAGAGAACACGG
rnacentral:pre_miRNA from 1 species